rnacentral:tRNA from 1 species
GCCCCGGUAGCUAAGCCUGGUUAUAGCGAGGGCCUUGUAAGCCCUAGGUCGUGGGUUCGAAUCCCACCCGGGGCU